AGUAAAGUAUUAAGGAAAGAGAAAGAAAACCUCGUUUAUUAGCAGUAGCUUGGGUGUUCUUAAUGGGCGUCCUUUGGGCCUCUUCAAAGGCUCCUGACCCUGUCCGUCAUAUGAUAGAGGGACUUUGAGAAUUUAAGCGAUCAAUUAUCAACGAUUGAAGGAAGAGUUGAGAAAUGAGUCAAAUGUCAUCUGGAAUUGUUGGUGUUGGUUAUAUUGGCACCAACUAUAUGGUCCCAUUAUUACUACCACCACCAUUUUCUUCCUUGUGUUUUAACACCUUUAUCAAACACAAGGGAUUGGUGUUGGAUAGUAAUCAUAAAGGAAGGAGAAGAGGACAUGGGAUUGUGGCAUCUAGCAACGUUGCUUCACCUUCCAUAUGGGAUGAUUGGAAACCUGUCAAAGCCCCUUCCACUCCUUCCCUCAGUGACAUUCUUUGGCCCUCUGCUGGGGCAUUUGCGGCAAUGGCAAUAUUGGGAAAGAUGGAUCAGUUAUUGGCACCAAAAGGACUCUCAAUCGCAUUUGCGCCAUUUGGGGCUGUUUCUACUAUCCUCUUUGCCACACCCACAGCUCCUACUGCCCGGAAGUACAAUGUGUUUAUGGCCCAAAUAGGCUGUGCUGCAAUUGGUGUUCUGGCAUUGACAAUAUUUGGACCCGGAUGGCUGGCCAGGAGUGCUAGUAUUGCGGCCUCCGUUGCUUACAUGAUCAUCACAAACUCUGUUCAUCCACCAGCUGCAAGCAUGCCAUUGCUUUUCAUUGAUGGUCCUAAGUUCCAUCACUUGAAUUUCUGGUAUGCUUUGUUUCCUGGGGCAGCAGCAUGCACUCUGCUUACGAUGGUGCAAGAGGUGGUUGUAUACUUGAAGAAAAAUUUCAAAUUUUGAACGCUGCUAUGCACAUUGAUAGUUGAUACAUCUCUUCUGCUGUCUCUACUAAUUUAAUUUGCUGAAGAGCCAAGGAACAUUCUUUGAUCAGAAUCAUAAAUAUAAUUGAAAGAAAAGGAACAAACUAUGCCAAAGCACAAAGCUGAGUUAAUGCGAUGCAUAUUAAGAUGAUGCACGACAAGGGGAGCCCACGGAUGAUGCAUGAACAUGAGCUAAUGGAUAGAGUUCGUGUAUUAUUUGUCUUUAUAUUUGUAUUUUAAAAAAUAUAUAGUAUGAGCUCCAAUUCUUCUUUUUUCU